rnacentral:lncRNA from 1 species
CUUGCUCUGAUAUCUUUAGAUACACUCUAUUUAUUGUUCAUUUAUUUGCUAUUAUUGUAGACGUCUUAUAUGUGUAGGCAUAUGGCGGGUCUGGACACGCACCGGGCGGGCCUAGGCCGGGUCCCGGGGCGUGACAGAUAGUACGGGGGGUCCCUCCCAGCAGACGGUCACGGCCGCGUGACGUUGUGUUGCGAGUUGUGGUUCGUCAUUUGGGCGAACCGGUUGGAUUGAAUCAAGGUAUGGUCAUGGUAUUUCGUUGCAUACAUGGUAGAUCUUAUACUUGUUGACAUGUUUUGGGCAAAGGCAUAGUUACACGUUUGUAGCAUGAUAUAGAUGUAUAUGAGCAUGUUAGGCUUAUGGUUCUAUUUACUACUUUCUUGUCAUAUUGACCUAUCUAUUGUUUAUAUGCCUUCUUAAACCUAGUGGAAAAAUCGGCGGGGUCGGCAGCCGAACCUAUUGGGAACUUUGUUUAGUUCUCACACCCUAUUUUUCAGAGCCUGGCACGAGUGCGCACGUCGAGGAUCGCGGCAAGGGCAUCGAGCCCUAGAUAGAGUGGACCACCGGCAUUAGCUCUACCCUCGUGUAUAGAAAAGGAAAGAAAUGUAAAACCCUUUUGUGAAUCAAAUGUAUUGUAUGUAAUGUGAGGUGAUCAUUUUGUAUGAAAAUGUGGGUUUGCUCUUUUGUGUAUAAAGGAGUUGUAAAAUGUUUAAGGAAUGAAAGAUUUCAUAUGUAAAUGCAAUGUAAUAGUUAGUAACUCUCUUGUAUCUGUGAUUGCCUCUCUCAAUGUUUGAUGCU